AGCUAGCAGGGAGAUGCUGGGGGAUAGACAGGGCUGCUGGGGACUGUUGUACAGGCUGUGCACUGCUCAAGGGUGUAGCCAUAGGCGCUGACUGAGGUCCUGGGAACAAGUCUCCAGAGGGCAGUGGCACUCAAACCCACGUACCUGGCUGGCCUCCCAGAAUGUGAGCUGAGCCCAAGCAUGCUGUGAAGCCAAGAUGCAGAGGUUGAUGAAGGCACAGCCCAUGGAGAUGUGGAAGUAGAAGGGGAAGAGUUUGCUCUGCACUAGUCCGAAGGUGAAGAUCCCGAAAGCCCCGAGGAAACCCUAAAUCUCAUCCUGAGGACACCGAUCCCACCAAAGCCCCGAGGAAACGCCAAAUCUCAUCCCGAGGACACCGAUCCCACCGUUAGGAACCGGGACCUCAAUCCGCAGCACCCGGAUUCCGAGAACAGAGGCGUCGGGGCCAAAUGGGCUGAAUCUGGUACCUCACUCCCACGCCCCCGGGUGGACAGCGACCCUCCUCGGCCGCGUCCCCUCGUGGGUUUCCCCCAACCAAUAAUUCGUCCCGCCUCCCAG
rnacentral:lncRNA from 10 species